rnacentral:snoRNA from 1 species
AUUCUGUGAUGAGAGCACUUUCGUAAUAACUCUUUGAAUCUUUCCCAUGCCUCAUACAAGGACUCAUCAUCCAUUUGUUGGAAAGCAGUAAUCUCAUUUCUCAGCUU